rnacentral:rRNA from 1 species
CAAUAGCGUAUAUUAAAGCUGUUGCGGUUAAAAAGCUCGUAGUUGGAUUUCUGUCAAGGACAACUGGUCCGCCCUCCGGGUGAGCACAUAGUUUGGUCUUGACAUCUUGCUGGAAGCUGUUGCUGCACUUGGCUGUGUGGCGCAGUGUUCAGCACUUUCACUUUGAGGAAAUUGGAGUGUUUCAAGCAGGCACAUGCCUUUGGACACAGUAGCAUGGAAUAAUUAGAUUGGGCUUUUGCUCCAAUUUGUCGGUUUCUGGAGCUGAGGUGAGUAUUAAUGGGGAUUGUUGGGGGCAUCCGAAUUUAGCCGUCAGAGGUGGAAUUCUUGGAUCUGCUAAAGACGGACAACUGCGAAAGCGUUUGCCCAGGAUGUUUUCAUUGA